AUUGAACGCUGGCGGCAGGCCUAACACAUGCAAGUCGAACGAGUGGCGGACGGGUGAGUAAUGUCUGGGAAACUGCCUGAUGGAGGGGGAUAACUACUGGAAACGGUAGCUAAUACCGCAUACCAUCAGAUGUGCCCAGAUGGGAUUAGCAUGUUGGUGGGGUAACGGCUCAACAAGGCGACGAUCCCUAGCUGGUCUGAGAGGAGGACCAGCAGCCCUGGAACUGAGGCACGGUCCAAACGCCUACAGGAGGCAGCGGUGGGGAAUAUUGCACAAUGGGCGAAAGCCUGAAGCAGCCAUGCCGCGUGUAUGAAGAAGGCCUGCGGGUUGUAAAGUACUUUCAGCGGGGAGGCGUUACCCACAGAAGAAGCACCGGCUAACUACGUGCCAGCAGCCGCGGUAAUUC
rnacentral:rRNA from 1 species